rnacentral:lncRNA from 1 species
ACAAAAACAAUGGAAUCUUGAAAUUCCCAGAUAAAUGGAUGGAACUAGAAGAAGCCACCCUGAAUGAGAGUCUUCAUCCAGUAGCUGAUGGAAGCAGAAGCAGACACCCACAGCUAAACACUGAGUUGAACUCCUGGAAUCCAGUUGCAGAGAGCGAGGAAUGAUGAGCAAAGGGAUCAAGACCAGGCUGGAGAACUCCACAGAAACAGCUAACCUGAACAAGGUGGAGCUCAUGGACCCCAGAGUGAUAGUUGGGAAACCAGCAUAGGCCUGAUCCAGAUACCAUGAAUGUGGGUGUGUGUUAGGAGGUCUGGGCAAUCUGUGGGGCCUCUGGUAGUGGAUCAGUAUUUAUCCCUAGCGUACAAAUAGACUUUGGGAGCCCAUCCCACAUAGAGGGAUACUCUCUCUGCCUAGACACAUGGGGAAGGGCGUAGGCCCUGCUCCAAAUGACAUGACAGACUUUGAAGAUUCACCAUGGAAGGCCUCACCCUCUCUGGGGAGCAGAAAGGAGAUGGGAUAAGGGGUUGUUGGGCAGGGGAGUUGACAUGUAAAACAAACUUGCUUCUAAUAUAUGUAUAUAAUUUCAAAUAGAAUUUAAAUUUUUAUUUGCACUUUAAUUCUCAAAGUGGAUACAGAUGAGUUGGCUAACUCUUCCGUUUAUAGGCUAAAUACUUUCCUUGAUUAUUUGAGCACUUCUAUUUUUACCUUCAUUAUUUUUCUUCCCACAUCCCUUUUGAUUAUACACCUAAGAUGUCUGCCCUGUUCUGAACUACCAGCACAAAGAGAAAUCUUAUUACUCAGCUUCUUCUGUUUAUUCUCUGCCUCUCUUCUCCAACCUGUAUCAGAACCUUCUUAAUGCACUGCUGUAACAUGCAACUGUGGUUCUCAAAGGGGUCCCAUCCCAGACAUUUCCAGGCUGUGAAGUCAGGUAACUGCACCCACUGUAAUUCCACACCCUUUGACAGAUGGAAUGACCAGUGAUUUGCUUUUGAGAUGCCUCCAGAUUU